rnacentral:tRNA from 1 species
GAGCUGCUGCUCGAGUGGUUAAUGGGGGCGGAUUGUAAAUCCGUUAGCAAUGCUUACGCUGGUUCGAAUCCAGCGCAGCUCA